UCCGUAGGUGAACCUGCGGAAGGAUCAUUAAUGAAUAAACUUGGUCAGGUUGUUGCUGGUUCUUUCGGGGACAUGUGCACGCUUGCCACCAAUUUUAACCACCUGUGCACCUUUUGUAGACUGGAAACGUUUCUCGAGGCAACUCGGAUUGAGAACUGCUGCGCGCAAGCCAGCUGUUCUUGCGUUUCUCAGUCUAUGUUUUCAUAUACUCCUAAUGUAUGUAAUCGAAUGUAUUGCUAGGCCUUAGUGCCUUUAAAUCAAAUACAACUUUCAACAACGGAUCUCUUGGCUCUCGCAUCGAUGAAGAACGCAGCGAAAUGCGAUAAGUAAUGUGAAUUGCAGAAUUCAGUGAAUCAUCGAAUCUUUGAACGCACCUUGCGCUCCUUGGUAUUCCGAGGAGCAUGCCUGUUUGAGUGUCAUUAAAUUCUCAACUAUACAAGUUUUUGAAACCUGUAUAGCUUGGAUCUUGGGAUCUGCGGGCUUACACAAGUCGGCUAUCCUUAAAUGCAUUAGCAGAGCUUUUGCCGCUAACCUCUGGUGUGAUAAUUAUCUACGCCAUUGAGUUGCGACAUAUUGAGGCUUAGCUUCUAAUCGUCCGCGAGGACAAUAAUUGACAAUCUGACCUCAAAUCAGGUAGGACUACCCGCUGAACUUAAGCAUAUCAAUAAGCGGAGGA
rnacentral:rRNA from 1 species